UACGUAGGGUGCAAGCGUUGUCCGGAAUUAUUGGGCGUAAAGAGCUCGUAGGCGGUCUGUCACGUCGGAUGUGAAAACUCGGGGCUCAACCCCGAGCCUGCAUACGAUACGGGCAGACUUGAGUUCGGCAGGGGAGACUGGAAUUCCCAGUGUAGCGGUGAAAUGCGUAGAUAUUGGGAGGAACACCGGUGGCGAAGGCGGCCCCCUGGACCGGUACUGACGCUGAGGCGCGAAAGCGUGGGUAGCAAACGGG
rnacentral:rRNA from 1 species